CAGGAAAUAAAUAACAAAACAUUCUGUAUUUUGCCAGAUGUGGAGUUAAAACCCUGCCUAAUUGUAAUUUUCCAUUGGCUACUACUGGUAAGACACACGACACCAUGUAUCCAUGAGACAGGAAGUGUCGAUGAGCAAAGAAAUAGAAAAAGUGGCAAGGCAACAUGGGCCUGUAGUAAAUAUCAAAGGACAGAAAACCCAGCGUUCUAUCACCGGAAUAUGACGCCAAUGACUAUAAUGUUGCAUUGUAGCCUACAAGAUUUGGUAGAAUGAACCAUGUUGCAGCAAAUGAGAAAUUAAAUGUGUGUUUGGACUACGUUGAGUCCAAUGAUAUCUGCCGCCAGGGGGAGUCGACUCGCAAAGACUUUAUUUCCCAAAUUCCAAUGAGAACCUGGAGCUGAGUCAGAGGUCCGCCUAAACACCUAAAUAAUUUGCAGACUACGUUAUUUCCCACUCACUUCCGAAGGUCUGGUUUAUUUGGUGUGAACGAAUACGAUGAGCUUUUUGGAAAGAUUCGGAUUCAUUUAUGUAAAACCUCAAAUCUUGAAACCAAACUAAAAGUCUAAGUUUUUCUUUAUUGACUGAAGGUUUAACGUUACGCGUGACGAAAAAACGCCACCCUGUCCCGUUCCAAGGUAUGUAGCUCCGGUGACAUCCCAGCAUGGACUCCGUUCGUUAGUAGCUUUUAUUUUUCCUUUGUAGACAACUUCGGCUUUUAUUAAACCAUUUUGGGAGAUCAUGUUUCAGUGUGUCCACAUGUUUUGGUUCUUGAAGAGACUAGAGUUGAUUCUUAUCAUGUGAAAUAUGAUUAAGCAUGAUUACAAUUAUAAAGAGCAACAAUACUUUUUUACGAUCUAUUGUCGGUUCAGUAUGAAUUAGCUAUAUUAUUGUAAACAGUUUACAGUAAUUCAUUUUCUUUGUGCACAGAACAAUAGGAUUAAAAUAGAGAUUAGUGGAUAAUCUCCAGAACAGACGAGUUACUGGUUACUGACUCAUAGGCUAAUCAAAUAAAAAAAAUCAAAGUUUAUUUGUCACGUGCGCCGAAUACAACAGGUGUAGGUAGACUUUACAGUGAAAUGCUUACUUACAGGCUCUAACCCAUAAUGCAAAAAAAGGUAUUAGGUGAACAAUAGGUAAGUAAAAUAAUAAUAAUAACAGUAGGGAGGCUAUAAAAGUAGAGGCUACAUACAGACAUUAGUCAGGCUGAUUGAGGUAGUAUGUACAUAUAGAUAUGGUUAAAGUGACUGCAUAUAUAAUGAACAGAGAGUAGCAGUAGCGUAAAAUUAUAAUCAGUCUAUUGUAAUUGUGUAGUGGUGCGUCAUCCCACGUUGCAUAGGCUACUCUUGCUCAUAAUUGUCAUGUUAACCAAACCCAAUGCUUAAUUUGACUCUACAGUGGAAAGUCUGCAUAUUGUAGUUAUCGGAUUCACAUGGAAUUGUUGUUCAAUUUAAAUGUUUGAAUGUAAAAUUAUUGGUGAAAAGAUUAAAUGUAAUUUUAGCUUCCAAAUGAGAGAUUUGGGUUUUCAUAAGGUUAGGGCUCUGCUCAAUCAGUGGCCCGCCCCUGUGAAGAGACAUGGGUUAUAAAACUUUUCAAACACACCCUUCUCCCUCCACUAUAUAAAGCCUUGACGAAAAUGUAACCUCCUGUUCCGAGAAUGUGAGGACGAUGUCAGAAUGGUUCAGAACGAACCCAACCUCCAGCGUGAGCUUUUGUUUGCAAAUGGUAUGAACUUUGAACUCUUAUUCACUACAGAAGUGAUACCUCCUAGCCGUUGAGUUAGCAACAGCAGCUGCAAACGUGGGCUAGGAAAUAACAGAUAGAGUAUCCCAUCUACCACACAACGACAUUACUACAACAUAUCCAAUUUACCAGCAGACACAUUCUUCAAAGGAUUCUGUUGGGCAACACGGCCUUCCAUCUACCACCAACCUACCGAAGCGUAGCUCAGAGUCCCUCUGAUGAUUGUUAUCUUGGCCUAAUGUCUGUCCGAGUGCCAUCAAUGAGUGUGCUGCCUCCUGUUCGAAGGGGCCGCGUCAUUGCCCAGCUUCCUCAGUGUUACAGUAAGAAGGCUGCUGUGCAAACUAAAGAUGAGUUCAACUUCAAAGUGAAGACUGCCUGCCAGGAGCAACGCACUGGCACAGUAGGGUUUAAAAUAGCUAAGGUCAUAGUGGUUGGUGACCUGGCCGUGGGAAAAACCUGUCUGAUUAAUAGGAUGCAUUUGACAAGAACUACAAGGCGACCAUUGGUGUUGACUUUGAGAUGGAGCGGUUUGAAGUGUUGGGGGUGCCUUUCAGUUUACAGUUAUGGGACACUGCGGGGCAGGAGAGGUUCAAGUGUAUUGCCUCCACAUACUACAGGGGAGCUCAGAGCAGUGGCUUGAAGAUGCCUUGAAGGAGAAUGAUCCUACCAAUGUUCAGCUUUUCCUGGUGGGCACAAAGAAAGACCUGAGUAAAUUAACAGUAAUUCAAACAGCCUGUAUGCAACAUCAAAGAAGAAACAGUCAAACUGUUGUCAAUGAAGACAAACACAUGACUACAACAGUAAAAAGUUAACAAAGCAAAAAGCAUAAUUUCCUCAGAAGAGAAACUGAGAACCCAUUAACACUCCCAGAGACAUGGAAUUUGCAGUGAGGCAGGACAGAGACUUUUGCCUUCAGACAUUUGAUUUUAAUUUCUCCUGGCCCGGAAAGAACAGCUUCUUGGUUGGAUGUGGAUUCCUGUGGUGCUUGGCUCAUUUUUGCCCAUCCAGAGUUUCGGAUAGAAAUUCCUCUGGUUCAUUGUACUCCAUACUGUACAGUUCCAGUUCUUGAGUCCUGACAGAAAUUGUGAUCGAGGUACUGCUUUAAUAGCUAUGGAGUAUGGACAAUCAUGGAUGUCUUCAAAUACCCAAUAUGGAUAUUUUUAUGACACUCCGCCAUUAGGCCUGUUAGAUUUCUUUACAGCGUUGUUUUGUUUAGUGUUUCCAUCCAACAUGUUUUUUGCACAAUUUGUAACCAUUGCAUAGAUUAAAACUCAUGACUCCUU